ACAGAUGUAGUGGUGUUGAUAACGAGGGACCUCUAGAGCGACUGAAAAAUUUGAUCUUUGGAGAAGAAACUCUCAUUACAAUUAAAAACUGGAUCAUUGAAUACUGGUGGGGUGUGAUGCUAAUUGUGGUCGGGAUUGUGAUCGUGAUGGGCGUCUUCAUCAAAGUUUGCUCCGUAAACACACCAAGUGAAGACCCAAAACUAAAGACAUUUAGAAAAAAGAAUAAAAAAGAAAGAGGGCCGGUGAAAAAUCCUGGACCGUAUUACAUAGGAGGAAAUAACAAAGGGAAGGAGAAUGGACGAGGAGGAAUGGGAAAUAACAGACGACAUAGGGAAAUGGGGAAUAUCUAGACUAGAUCAGUACAUUACGAAGACCUGAACAGUGAAAAAAGUCAACAAUGCAUACCUGGCUCAAAAAUCACACUAAGAACAAAUUUCAUCCGAAAAUUGAAAUCAAUUUACAUUUUGAAAAAAAAAAUUAUAAUGAAGCAGAAUUUUCUACAUGCUUGUAAAAUUUGUAUGUAACACAUUCUUGCAAAUUCAAUGAAGGGAUAUUCAUAACAUUCCAAAGUAAAAUAUUUGACUAGUAAGUAUUUUCUCAAUUCAUGAUCUUAAGGUCUGUUAUAAAAAGCACUAUAAAUGAAUGGGAUAACACUUUCUGAGAUGUUUAUUUUAGUGCACAAAUUUUAUAUGCUUAUCUAGAGGAACAGUUGUUGAUGAUUUUAUAUUGUGCCAAAGUUUGAUCAAAUUUAAAUCUAAACUACUGUCUCUAGAUAUAGAGUGUUUCUUUGUUUCCUUUUUUAUUGAAUGAAAGGAACUCUUAUUUGUUUCAUUGUAUAUAUCAUGACAUAUUACGAUUAAAUAUUAGUUUGCUUUUA